rnacentral:rRNA from 1 species
UACAGAGGUCUCGAGCGUUGUUCGGAUUCAUUGGGCGUAAAGGGCGCGUAGGCUGCGGGGUAAGUCAGGUGUGAAAUCUCAGAGCUCAACUCUGAAAUUGCACUUGAUACUGCUCUGCUAGAGGACUGGAGAGGAGAUUGGAAUUCACGGUGUAGCAGUGAAAUGCGUAGAUAUCGGAAGGAACACCAGUGGCGAAAGCGGCUUCCUGGUCCAGCACCGACGUCAGGCACGAAAGCGUGGGGAGCAAACAGG